GGAUGGAGAAGAAGAAGUAUAUUUUAAAGGACAGUGUGAAGAACACAAACCGCAGAGACAAGUCAAAUUUCAUUUUGGUCCCCAGGCGAGAGGAUCAGUCAGCUACUUCAAGUGGGAUUGGAGUUUCGGAUGUGGGUACAGCUGACUUUGGAAAGAAAAAAAUUCUGCUUCUCAAGGGGAAAGAGCGAGAUAUAUCUUAUUUGCAGAGUGCUACAUCUUCUGGGAAUUCUCCUGCAAGUGCAUCAAAACAUAAUCAGAGGCGUGAGGCUGGUGGAAGCAUGAUC
rnacentral:misc_RNA from 1 species